rnacentral:rRNA from 1 species
GCCCAGUCAUAAACUUUGAUGAUAAACUACAAAUAUCAUCCGCCAGGGAACUACAAGCGUAUCGCUCGAAACCCAACGGACUUGGCGGUGCCCCACACCCACCUAGAGGAGCCUGUUCUAUAACUGACAAUCCCCGUUCAACCUCACCACCCCUAGCCCCUUCAGUCUAUAUACCACCGUCGUAAGCUCACCCUAUGAAGGAUCAACAGUAAGCAAGAUGGGUACAACCCAAAACGUCAGGUCGAGGUGUAGCACAUGGAGUGGGAAGAAAUGGGCUACAUUUUCUGCCUACAGAACACCACGAACAACGCCAUGAAACCUGCCGUUCAAAGGAGGAUUUAGCAGUAAAAAGAAAACAGAGAGUUCUUUUGAAGCCGGCCCUGGGGCGCGC